UACGUAGGGGGCGAGCGUUGUCCGGAUUUAUUGGGCGUAAAGAGCGUGUAGGCGGCCAGGUAGGUCCGUUGUGAAAACUCGAGGCUCAACCUCGAGACGUCGAUGGAAACCAUCUGGCUAGAGUCCGGAAGAGGAGAGUGGAAUUCCUGGUGUAGCGGUGAAAUGCGCAGAUAUCAGGAAGAACACCCGUGGCGAAGGCGGCUUUCUGGGACGGUACUGACGCUGAGACGCGAAAGCGUGGGGAGCGAACAGG
rnacentral:rRNA from 1 species